GACGAACGCUGGCGGCGUGCCUAAUACAUGCAAGUAGGACGCAGUUGCGAACGGGUGAGUAACGCGUAGGUAACUACCUAUUAGAGGGGGAUAACUAUUGGAAACGAUAGCUAAUACCGCAUACUAGUAGAUGGACCUGCGUUGUAUUAGCUAGUAGGUAGGGUAAUGGCCUACCUAGGCAACGAUACAUAGCCGACCUUAGAGGGUGAACGGCCACACUGGGACUGAGACACGGCCCAGACUCCUACGGGGAGCCGGAGUAGGGAAUCUUACGCAAUAGGGGGAACCCUAAGCGCGCAACGCCGCGUGAGUGAAUAAGGUCUUCUGAUCGUAAAGCUAUGUUGUUAAGGAAGCGGUACUUAACCAGAAAGGGACGGCUAAUUACGUGCUAGCAGCCGCGGUAAUUC
rnacentral:rRNA from 1 species